rnacentral:rRNA from 1 species
CGUAGGGUGCGAGCGUUAAUCGGAAUUACUGGGCGUAAAGCGUGCGCAGGCGGUUAUGAAAGACAGGCGUGAAAUCCCCGGGCUUAACCUGGGAACUGCGUUUGUGACUCCAUAACUCGAGUACGGCAGAGGGGGGUGGAAUUCCACGUGUAGCAGUGAAAUGCGUAGAGAUGUGGAGGAACACCGAUGGCGAAGGCAGCCCCCUGGGCCAGUACUGACGCUCAUGCACGAAAGCGUGGGGAGCAAACAGGAUUAGAUACCCUGGUAGUCCACGCCCUAAACGAUGUCAACUAGUUGUUGGUAGGGUAAAACCUAUUAGUAACGGAGCUAACGCGUGAAGUUGACCGCCUGGGGGAGGUACCGGCCGCAAAGGUUA